rnacentral:lncRNA from 1 species
UUUAGCUUAUGUGAAUGGUUUAAAAAGUACUUUAAAGCUGGUGACUUACAAUGUCUGUAAAAUUGACCCCAGCAGGUAGGUGCAAGGUUGUCCUAACUGUCUGUCACCAAAUGGAAAGGUUGCCUUAACUGUCCAGUAUAAGAAUUUAAAGUGGUGCUAUGAGGCACAGUCUUAGGAAGCUGCAGAGCUCAAAACAAAACUGGAAAUAAAGCCACAUCAAAUACAAAAGAACAAGCUGGAGAGUGUCUUCAGUUAACAGAAAGUUCUGGAAGAAAUGGAGUUGUGCUUUCAGAGAUAGAAAGGAAAAUAAUAUUUGACCUAAUGUUGUAGGAUUAUGUCUUGAAUCUUUACAUUUAUUUAAAUGAAGGAUCUUUGGAAAUAAACUUUGAGAAAUAUUUGCCAAAAAGAAAACAGUAGUGUUCCAAGGGGGCUGUUUGUGGGUGGAAGCAACACUUCCUGGAAUGGGCUUCAGAGGGGCAUCAGGAGGGAAGCUUGUUUAAAUAAAGACUUUCAUGAUAUACAUUUAGAGAGCUAAUUGGACAGCACUUAUAAUGAGGAGGCAUAGUAGUCAUUUUAGGAAAAAAGUGAUCUGUCUACCAAACCCCUCCAGGAAUAAGAAAUCCCUACUAAAUCCAUUAUUAUUCAGAUUAAAUAUGUCUUAGAUGACCCUUCCAACCAACAAGUAUGUAUCACGUGAUGACUAUUGCCAGCUCUCAUGGAGACAGAAAAUAGUAUGUUUCUCUGAACACAGAGACCUUAAUAAUAAGAUACAAGAUACUGUCUACUCAAUUGUUAGGUGAGUUUGCACCUCCUGAGAUAGGAGAAUAAAACCAGUGGCAGGACCUUCAAGGUCUGAGCCUUUGGAUCUAUCCAGUCAGUGGAUUGCGUGCUGUCCAUGCACAGUGACCCUUUUGAUCCCUAGCACAGCAAAAACAUGGACUGGUGACACACCUGUGACUCCAGCACUUGGGGCGGGGGUUGGGAGGAGGGAGGAGGAGGGUUGUAAGCUAAAGGUAGUCCUUGGCUGUUGGUGGGUUUGAGGCUAUCCUGGGACAGGUAAUACCAAACCAAGACCAAAACCAAAACCCAAAUCAAACCAAAACCAAAACCAAAACCCAAACCAAACCAAACCAAACCUUAAAGGCCUGACUGGAUUUGGAUGAUGCCUUCUCAGGGUGGGUGCCUUGGGUCUACCUCUGUUUGUUUGAAUAUCUUUAUUAUUCGAAUGUUUUUUUUUUUUUUUUUUUUACAGUGAAUGGUCAAACUUACUAAAGGAAACGAAUUCAGGGUUUUUCUCUGGUUUAAAAAAAAUCAAGAAACCUGGUUUUCUAUGUAGUACAGUGUUUUAAACCAACAUGGCAUCGUUGUUUCCUUUUAAUAGCUGGCAGGAAAAAAUGGCUUAAAAAUUCCAUUUGGAAGUGGGCUGUAUAUGAUAGAGACCGAGUUUUCAAUGCUGUUUCUAAGUGAUAAAGGGGGAGGUCUGAAAAGAUGGAAAGUUCUUACUUUCUGCUGAAGCAUAAUGCAUUUAAGAGAGAAUAUUAAAUCUCAUAAUUAGGUAUUUCCUGACAAUUUUUACAAAUCUCUGGUCUAGAGGUUAAUAUUGCUCAGCAUUCUAAUAGUGUUAUUGAUAAUAUGUCUGGUAAAUGCCAGGAAAUCUAAAAGUAGACAGUUUAUCUAAAACUCAAAAUAAACUAUUACAAAGUUACCAAGGUGUGUGUUAAAAUCAACAUGGAGGACUCUAGAGAUGGCUUAAGAUGCCUUGACUGGAGAGUGGUUAAGAGCACUUUCUGCUCUGCUAGAGGACCUGAGUUUGGUUCUCAGCACCAGCAUCAGGUGGGGCAAGGUCACUUGUAACUCUAGUUUCACAGAGUAUAGCAUCUAUAAUAUACAUUAUACACAUAUAUAUGUCAAAAAGAACCCUCAAACAUUGUCUUUAUUUGAGUUAUUUUGAUUUAGUAAGUAAUGUUUCUUUUUGUGUAGAACAAAUGCUCAAAACACACUUUGUUUUGCAUAUCAUACAAUGUAAAAGAAGUAGGAUCAUUUAAGUAGUCGCAUUAAGAAACUGGUGCACAGCUAUGUCUAAGAAACAAAAUUUAUCAUCUAUUUUUUCUUAUUUUUAUGUGAAUAUUCAGUUAAAGGAAUGAUAAUACUCAUAUUUAAACAACUUUUUUCUUAACACAUUAUUUGACAGAAAAUUUAAAACAUAACUGAUCUGGCAGAUGCUCACAUUUCCUUGCCUCUUAGGGGAACAACAGUGGAUAGAGUGAAUUUGACCAUUUUUACUGCUGCCUUUUUUUUUUUUGAGUCCUUUCAAAAAGGGGAUGAGAUGCAUUUUUCUAAAAAUUGAAAAGAUUAAAGUUAACUCGGAUUUCAGAUUGCUCUGAGAAUUGGCAUGC